GAAUUGACGGGGGCCCGCACAAGCGGUGGAGCAUGUGGUUUAAUUCGAUGCAACGCGAAGAACCUUACCUGGUCUUGACAUCCACAGAACUUUCCAGAGAUGGAUUGGUGCCUUCGGGAACUGUGAGACAGGUGCUGCAUGGCUGUCGUCAGCUCGUGUUGUGAAAUGUUGGGUUAAGUCCCGCAACGAGCGCAACCCUUAUCCUUUGUUGCCAGCGGUCCGGCCGGGAACUCAAAGGAGACUGCCAGUGAUAAACUGGAGGAAGGUGGGGAUGACGUCAAGUCAUCAUGGCCCUUACGACCAGGGCUACACACGUGCUACAAUGGCGCAUACAAAGAGAAGCGACCUCGCGAGAGCAAGCGGACCUCAUAAAGUGCGUCGUAGUCCGGAUUGGAGUCUGCAACUCGACUCCAUGAAGUCGGAAUCGCUAGUAAUCGUGGAUCAGAAUGCCACGGUGAAUACGUUCCCGGGCCUUGUACACACCGCCCGUCACACCAUGGGAGUGGGUUGCAAAAGAAGUAGGUAGCUUAACCUUCGGGAGGGCGCUUACCACUUUGUGAUUCAUGACUGGGGUGAAGUCGUAACAAGGUAACCGUAGGGGAACCUGC
rnacentral:rRNA from 2 species